rnacentral:rRNA from 1 species
AUAACUAGUAUUGGAGGCACUGCCUGCCCAGUGACGACCGUUAAACGGCCGCGGUAUCCUGACCGUGCAAAGGUAGCAUAAUCACUUGUUCUCUAAAUAGGGACUUGUAUGAAUGGCCACACGAGGGUUUUACUGUCUCUUACUUCCAAUCAGUGAAAUUGACCUUCCCGUGAAGAGGCGGGAAUAUAUUAAUAAGACGAGAAGACCCUAUGGAGCUUUAACUACUUAGCCCAAAGAAACAAAUUUCAUUACUAAGGAAACAACAAUACUCUUAGUGGGCUAACAGCUUUGGUUGGGGUGACCUCGGAGAACAAGAAAUCCUCCGAGCGAUUUUAAAGACUAGACCUACAAGUCGAAUCACACAAUCGUUUAUUGAUCCAAAAAUUGAUCAACGGAACAAGUUACCCUAGGGAUAACAGCGCAAUCCUAUUCAAGAGUCCAUAUCGACAAUAGGGUUUACGACCUCGAUGUUGGAUCAGGACAUCCCGAUGGUGCAACCGCUAUCAAAGGUUCGUUUGUUCAACGAUUAAAGUCCUACGUGAUCUGAGUUA